CUAUAAUCCAUUGGGUUGCAAAGAGUUGAACAUGAUUGAGUGACUAACACUUCACUCUUUUUUAGCCUAUAAAAAUUCUUUGAUAAUGGAACUACAGAGUCAAAGUUGCAAGCAUGAAAUACAGUGUAUCUUCUUCUGGUAAUCCUUCUCUGGAUUAGAUGAAAUAAAUUGAGGGCCAGAAACUGCCUGCAAGCAGAGUUCCCACCCUAUGGUGAAAUGGUGUCUCUGCAUUUAUGUCGUAUUCUCACAUGAUGCUGAAACAACCAGCUGAAUAAGGAAAUCCAGGGAAGAGAUGUAGUUUUAUUGUAAACUGACAUGUUCAGUUACCUUUUGUAUUUUGUGUGUGCCAAAUCUGUUUUAGCGAUUCCUUCUGAUCUGUAAAAAUAUUGGUUGUCAUGGGAGCCUGUAAAUCUUUCCCCUCUCUUUGGUUAUACUGCCUGAGUAUUUUCUCAUUUUUGUUUCAAUAUUCCUCCACUUUAGUACUAUUUCAUUAUUAUUAAAAAUUUUUUUUCAUCC
ensembl:lncRNA